rnacentral:rRNA from 1 species
UACGUAGGGUCCGAGCGUUGUCCGGAAUUAUUGGGCGUAAAGGGCUCGUAGGCGGUUUGUCGCGUCGGGAGUGAAAACCAGAGGCUUAACUUCUGGCUUGCUUUCGAUACGGGCAGACUUGAGGCAUGCAGGGGAGAACGGAAUUCCUGGUGUAGCGGUGAAAUGCGCAGAUAUCAGGAGGAACACCGGUGGCGAAGGCGGUUCUCUGGGACGGUACUGACGCUGAGACGCGAAAGCGUGGGGAGCGAACAGG